rnacentral:misc_RNA from 1 species
GCUGGGCUUCAAUGGUAAUGGGCAUGUGUAUCUGCUCAUGAGCUGUUCAAUGCUUGUCUUGGAUUUUGUUUUUAUUCACGUUUCUCUUGCGUACAGGAUUUUACUGUACUUUUUAUGAAGUCGCCACUUUGAAAGUAAUCUCUUUUGAAAGUUUUUCUUUCCCUUCUCCUUUUCUAGAACAAUUGAUUUUAAAAAAAAUCUGCUUUCUUUAUUAUUAUUAUUAAUUUUUUU